GCGCGCCUUCGGGCGAGCGGCGGACGGGUUAGUAACGCGUGGGAACGUGCCCAGAUCUACGGAAUAGCCACUGGAAACGGUGAGUAAUACCGUAUACGCCCUUCGGGGGAAAGAUUUAUCGGAUUUGGAUCGGCCCGCGUUAGAUUAGGUAGUUGGUGGGGUAACGGCCUACCAAGCCUACGAUCUAUAGCUGGUUUUAGAGGAUGAUCAGCAACACUGGGACUGAGACACGGCCCAGACUCCUACGGGAGGCAGCAGUGGGGAAUCUUGGACAAUGGGGGCAACCCUGAUCCAGCCAUGCCGCGUGAGUGAAGAAGGCCCUAGGGUCGUAAAACUCUUUCGCCUGGAUGAUAAUGACAGUAGCAGGUAAAG
rnacentral:rRNA from 1 species